AACGAACGCUGGCGGCAGGCCUAACACAUGCAAGUCGAGCGCCCCGCAAGGGGAGCGGCGGACGGGUGAGUAACGCGUGGGAACGUACCCUUUGCUACGGAAUAGCCUCGGGAAACUGGGAGUAAUACCGUAUGUGCCCUUCGGGGGAAAGAUUUAUCGGCAAAGGAUCGGCCCGCGUUGGAUUAGGCAGUUGGUGGGGUAAUGGCCUACCAAGCCGACGAUCCAUAGCUGGUUUGAGAGGAUGAUCAGCCACACUGGGACUGAGACACGGCCCAGACUCCUACGGGAGGCAGCAGUGGGGAAUCUUAGACAAUGGGCGCAAGCCUGAUCUAGCCAUGCCGCGUGAGCGAUGAAGGCCUUAGGGUUGUAAAGCUCUUUCAGUGGGGAAGUAUAAUGACUGUACCCACAGAAGAAGCCCCGGCUAACUCCGUGCCCAGCAGCCGCGGUAAUGUAGACGU
rnacentral:rRNA from 1 species